rnacentral:tRNA from 1 species
GAGCUCGUAGCUCAGUUGGUAGAGCAACGCCCUUUUAAGGCGUGGGUCGUGGGUUCGAUUCCCACCGAGCUCACCA